GACGAACGCUGGCGGCGUGCUUAACACAUGCAAGUCGAACGGUGAAGCGCCUUCCUUUUUGGUGGGUGUGGAUGAGUGGCGAACGGGUGAGUAACACGUGAGUAACCUGCCCCCUUCUUCUGGAUAACCGCAUGAAAGUGUGGCUAAUACGGGAUAUUCUGGGUCUGUCGCAUGAUGGGUCUGGGAAAGAUAUUGUUUCGGUGGGGGAUGGGCUCGCGGCCUAUCAGCUUGUUGGUGGGGUGAUGGCCUACCAAGGCGGUGACGGGUAGCCGGCCUGAGAGGGUGGACGGUCACACUGGGACUGAGACACGGCCCAGACUCCUACGGGAGGCAGCAGUGGGGAAUAGUGCACAAUGGGCGCAAGCCUGAUGCAGCGACGCCGCGUGAGGGAUGGAGGCCUUCGGGUUGUGAACCUCUUUCGCCAGUGAAGCAGGACUGCCUCGUGUGUGGGUGGGUUGACGGUAGCUGGAUAAGAAGCGCCGGCUAACUACGUG
rnacentral:rRNA from 1 species